AUGUUGAUGCAAGAUUAUUUUUCGGAGAAUCCUACGUAUCCUGCACACCUCUUCCGCAGAAGGUACCGAAUGCGCCGAUCCCUUUUUGUGAAAAUUGUUGAAGCUUGCGAGGCAAAUUGCCGGUAUUUCACUCAGAGAAGGAAUGUCGCGGGCUUAAAGGGAUUUAGUGCACAUCAAAAAAUCUGCGCAGUUAUGCGGGUGAUUGCAUAUGGCGUUCCGGCUAACUAUGCCGAUGAGUAUCUUCGCAUUGGUGAAGAUAGUGAUGGGGUUAUGUACCUAGGGUAG
rnacentral:rRNA from 1 species